GAUGAACGCUGGCGGCGUGCCUAAUACAUGCAAGUCGAGCGAAUGGAUUAAGAGCUUGCUCUUAUGAAGUUAGCGGCGGACGGGUGAGUAACACGUGGGUAACCUGCCCAUAAGACUGGGAUAACUCCGGGAAACCGGGGCUAAUACCGGAUAACAUUUUGAACCGCAUGGUUCGAAAUUGAAAGGCGGCUUCGGCUGUCACUUAUGGAUGGACCCGCAUCGCAUUAGCUAGUUGGUGAGGUAACGGCUCACCAAGGCAACGAUGCGUAGCCGACCUGAGAGGGUGAUCGGCCACACUGGGACUGAGACACGGCCCAGACUCCUACGGGAGGCAGCAGUAGGGAAUCCUCCGCAAUGGACGAAAGUCUGACGGAGCAACGCCGCGUGAGUGAUGAAGGCUUUCGGGUCGUAAAACUCUGUUGUUAGGGAAGAACAAGUGCUAGUUGAAUAAGCUGGCACCUUGACGGUACCUAACCAGAAAGCCACGGCUAACUACGUGCCAGCAGCCGCAGUAA
rnacentral:rRNA from 1 species